rnacentral:rRNA from 1 species
UACGGAGGAUCCAAGCGUUAUCCGGAUUUAUUGAGUUUAAAGGGUGCGUAGGCGGAAUUGUAAGUCAGUGGUGAAAGCCCUUCGCUUAACGAAGGAACUGCCAUUGAUACUGCAAAUCUUGAGUACAUUUGAUGAGGGCGGAAUGUGUCAUGUAGCGGUGAAAUGCUUAGAUAUGACACAGAACACCGAUUGCGAAGGCAGCUCUCAAAACUGUAACUGACGCUGAGGCACGAAAGCGUGGGUAUCAAACAGG